rnacentral:piRNA from 1 species
UAUCUGAACCCAUGAAACAGCCUUCU